GAGUGGCGAACUGGUGAGUAACACGUGGGUAACCCGCCCUUGAAGUAGGGGAUAACACUUGGAAACAGGUGCUAAUACCGUAUAACAACCAAAACCACCUGGUUUUGGUUUAAAAGACGGCUUCGGCUGUCACUUUAGGAUGGACCCGCGGCGUAUUAGCUUGUUGGUAAGGUAACGGCCUACCAAGGCGAUGAUACGUAGCCGACCUGAGAGGGUAAUCGGCCACAUUGGGACUGAGACACUGCCCAAACUCCUACGGGAGGCAGCAGUAGGGAAUCUUCCACAAUGGACGAAAGUCUGAUGGAGCAACGCCGCGUGAGUGAUGAAGGGUUUCGGCUCGUAAAACUCUGUUGUUGGAGAAGAACAGGUGUCAGAGUAACUGUUGACAUCUUGACGGUAUCCAACCAGAAAGCCACGGCUAACUACGUGCCAGCAGCCGCGGUAAUACGUAGGUGGCAAGCGUUGUCCGGAUUUAUUGGGCGUAAAGCGAGCGCAGGCGGUUUUUUAGGUCUGAUGUGAAAGCCUUCGGCUUAACCGGAGAAGUGCAUCGGAAACCGGGAGACUUGAGUGCAGGAUAGGACAGUGGAACUC
rnacentral:rRNA from 1 species